rnacentral:rRNA from 1 species
UACAGAGGUUCCAAGCGUUGUUCGGAUUCAUUGGGCGUAAAGGGUGCGUAGGUGGCUGCGUAAGUCUGGUGUGAAAUCUUGGGGCUCAACCCCGAAACUGCACCGGAUACUGCGUGGCUCGAGGACUGUAGAGGAGAGAGGAAUUCAAGGUGUAGCAGUGAAAUGCGUAGAGAUCGUGAGGAAGACCAGUUGCGAAGGCGUCUCUCUGGGCAGUUCCUGACACUGAGGCAAGAAGGCCAGGGGAGCAAACGGG